GUGAGGAAUUUUCCGCAAUGGGCGAAAGCCUGACGGAGCAAUGCCGCGUGAAGGAUGAAGGCCUAUGGGUUGUAAACUUCUUUUCUCAGAAAAGAAUUAUGACGGUAUCUGAGGAAUAAGCAUCGGCUAACUCUGUGCCAGCAGCCGCGGUAAGACAGAGGAUGCAAGCGUUAUCCGGAAUGAUUGGGCGUAAAGCGUCUGUAGGUUGUUUAAAAAGUAUUCUGUCAAAGAUUAGGGCUUAACCCUAGAUAGGCAGAAUAAACUUUUAAGCUAGAGUUUGGUAGAGGCAGAGGGAAUUCCAGGUGGAGCGGUGAAAUGCGUAGAUAUCGGGAGGAACACCAAAGGCGAAGGCACUCUGCUGGGCCAAUACUAACACUGAGAGACGAAAGCGAGGGGAGCAAAUGGGAUUAGAAACCCCGGUAGUCC
rnacentral:rRNA from 1 species